AUUGAACGCUGGCGGCAUGCCUUACACAUGCAAGUCGAACGGCAGCACGGGAGCAAUCCUGGUGGCGAGUGGCGAACGGGUGAGUAAUAUAUCGGAACGUGCCCAGUCGUGGGGGAUAACGUAGCGAAAGCUACGCUAAUACCGCAUACGAUCUAUGGAUGAAAGCGGGGGAUCGCAAGACCUCGCGCGAUUGGAGCGGCCGAUAUCGGAUUAGGUAGUUGGUGAGGUAAAGGCUCACCAAGCCGACGACCUGUAGCUGGUCUGAGAGGACGACCAGCCACACUGGGACUGAGACACGGCCCAGACUCCUACGGGAGGCAGCAGUGGGGAAUUUUGGACAAUGGGCGCAAGCCUGAUCCAGCAAUGCCGCGUGCAGGAUGAAGGCCUUCGGGUU
rnacentral:rRNA from 1 species